rnacentral:rRNA from 1 species
CUUUGCAUAUCUUUCUUUUUUUUCUAAAUGCACCGGAUCCCAUCAGAACAACGCAGAUAAGCGUGCUUGGGCGAGAGUAGUACUAUGAUGGGUGACCUCCUGGGAAGUCCUCAUGUUGCACUUC